GUGCCUUGCCUCUGAUGAAGCCUGCGUUGGUAGGGACAUCUGAGAGUAAUGAUGAAUGCCAACCGCUCUGAUGGUGGCAC
ensembl:snoRNA